rnacentral:rRNA from 1 species
AACGAACGCUGGCGGCAGGCUUAACACAUGCAAGUCGAACGCCCCGCAAGGGGAGUGGCAGACGGGUGAGUAACGCGUGGGAAUCUACCGUACCCUACGGAACAACAGUUGGAAACGACUGCUAAUACCGUAUACGCCCUUAGGGGGAAAGAUUUAUCGGGGUAUGAUGAGCCCGCGUUGGAUUAGCUAGUUGGUGGGGUAAAGGCCUACCAAGGCGACGAUCCAUAGCUGGUCUGAGAGGAUGAUCAGCCACAUUGGGACUGAGACACGGCCUAAACUCCUACGGGAGGCAGCAGUGGGGAAUAUUGGACAAUGGGCGCAAGCCUGAUCCAGCCAUGCCGCGUGAGUGAUGAAGGUCUUAGGAUUGUAAAGCUCUUUCACCGAUGAAGAUAAUGACGGUAGUCGGAGAAGAAGCCCCGGCUAACUUCGUGCCAGCAGCCGCGGUAACAC